AACCCAUGCUGAAGACAUUUCCACAGGAGAUCCUUGAACCUAUCCCAUGACUCAAAAAGUGACUCCAAUUCCAUUUGCAUAAAAGAGGAAACUUCAUUCCUGAACUU